rnacentral:rRNA from 1 species
AGUACGUGAACCGUUAAGAGCCAAACGGGUGGGACCUCGAAGGUCGAACCGAGGGGAUUCAGCUCGUCGGCUCAGGUCGGCCGGGUGCGGGAUUCGCUGAGGCGACCCAGGCAUUCUUGGGCGUGCCCGCACUCGAGCCGGCGCCGGCGGGCGUAUUUCCCCUCGUGAUGUAGAUCGCCGCGACCCGUUGCUGGGGACGUCUAAGGCCCGGUUGGAUUGGUACCCCGACGUCGCGCCUCCGUGCCGGCGAAGGGGGAAACCUCCGGUGUCCUGGCUGCCCUGCGACGGUCGUGUAGCAGAGGGACUCCAGCAGUCACUAAAACCUCUCGCGGCGUGCAAAAGGUCGGUGACCCACCCGACCCGUCUUGAAACACGGACCAAGGANNNNNNGCGCUCAUCGUGUAGUCAGGCCCGCAAGGGUCGCCUGUACGCAGGGGGGCGCAGGCCCGGGACUUGCCAUCCGACGCCGUCGCGCGAAGCUGUUGUUGGCCUCGCCGGCUCUGCUUGGGCUCUCGGUUGGCGUGCCGCGUGUCUUUGGGCGGGCUCAGGGUUCAGGGGUGGGCUCUCGCGGGCUCGCUCUUCCCCCGGGCUCGUCCGGCGCGGUUUCGCCCUCCGAUCCUGCUCUGUCCGGCGUGGCCUAGCGCGCGUGCUGUCGGCAAGUACCACGAGCAGACAUGUUGGGACCCGAAAGAUGGUGAACUAUGCCUGGCCAGGAUGAAGCCAGAGA